GGUCUUGUAAUGAAAAUUUUAGAGUGUAUGAAACUAAGCUUAAUGGCUACAAAGACAUCAAAUUUCGUUUCUCUUCCUCUGUCUUUGUUUAUUGUGCUCUUAUUUCUCUCAUCUCAAGUGGAAGUCGCAGAGGCCAAAAGUCUCCGACAUAAGCUGUUGGCAGCACGACCAUCAAAAAGUUUUCGAGGUCUUACAAGGCUUCCACCGAGGCGGCAAAUGCGGCUACCACCCCGGCUACCACCUCGGCUACCACCUCGGCCACCACCCGGCAAGUUGGCUGAACCACGUCCUCCUCGGAUCUCGACUUCACCACAACAGCACUUGAUGCCAAAUGGACCACCACCGCCCCAAAUGCCAAGUGCACCACGACCGUCCCAGAUGCCACAUAUGCUAUUACCACGUCCGCCCCGGAUAUCAAAUGCACCACCACCACCGUCCUUGAUGCCAAAUGUCCCACCACUGCCCCGGAUGCCGAGUGUAGCACCGCCGGACCAAAUGCCACAUAUGCUAUUACCACUAUUGCCGCAUGUGCCUCCUCCAUUGCCGCAUACCUAACCGCUGCCGUCUACAUAACGAUGAAGGAAGAUGACGCUGGUGGUAGUCAUAUAACGAAGAAGGGAAGCUGAUGGGUAUGAGAUGAGAUGGCUUCAGUUUUUAUAAGAAAAUGUGUGUUUGCGUGUGCUGAUGAUAUGAAUCUUGCAUUAUUCAUCACCAUAUAUCUUAGUCGAUGUAAUAUGUAAUAAUUGCUAAGCUACAUCAUAAUCCCAAUAACUUUUAAAUGGUUGUUCCAUGGAUGUUGUGAUUAUGUAAUAUAUGAGAUAUUGUGUUGCUCGAUA